GUGGGGAAUAUUGGACAAUGGGCGAAAGCCUGAUCCAGCCAUGCCGCGUGUGUGAAGAAGGUCUUCGGAUUGUAAAGCACUUUAAGUUGGGAGGAAGGGCAGUAAGUUUAUACCUUGCUGUUUUGACGUUACCGACAGAAUAAGCACCGGCUAACUUCGUGCCAGCAGCCGCGGUAAUACGAAGGGUGCAAGCGUUAAUCGGAAUUACUGGGCGUAAAGCGCGCGUAGGUGGUUUUGUAAGUUGGAGGUGAAAUCCCCGGGCUCAACCUGGGAACUGCCUCCAAAACUGCAUGACUAGAGUACGGUAGAGGGUAGUGGAAUUUCCUGUGUAGCGGUGAAAUGCGUAGAUAUAGGAAGGAACACCAGUGGCGAAGGCGACUACCUGGACUGAUACUGACACUGAGGUGCGAAAGCGUGGGGAGCAAACAGGAUUAGAUACCCGAGUAGUCC
rnacentral:rRNA from 1 species